rnacentral:rRNA from 1 species
GAUGAACGCUGGCGGCGUGCCUAAUACAUGCAAGUCGAGCGAACGGACGAGAAUCUUGCUUCUCUUAUGUUAGCGGCGGACGGGUGAGUAACACGUGGAUAACCUACCUAUAAGACUGGGAUAACUUCGGGAAACCGGAGCUAAUACCGGAUGAUAUUUUGAACCGCAUGGUUCAAAAGUGAAAGACGGUCUUGCUGUCACUUAUAGAUGGAUCCGCGAUGCAUUAGCUAGUUCGUAAGGUAACGGCUUACCAAGGCAACGAUGCAUAGCCGACCUGAGAGGGUGAUCGGCCACACUGGAACUGAGACACGGUCCAGACUCCUACGGGAGGCAGCAGUAGGGAAUCUUCCACAAAGGGCGAAAGCCUGACGGAGCAACGCCGCGUGAGUGAUGAAGGUCUUCGGAUCGUAAAGCUCUGUUAUUAGGGAAGAACAUAUGUGUAAGUAACUGUGCACGUCUUGACGGUACCUAAUCAAAAAGCACCGGCUAACUACGUG